rnacentral:lncRNA from 1 species
UCCGAGUUCAACCUAAAUACGAACAAACCUUUCCCACCCACACCGUCCGCCAGGAAGACGGAGGACAGCAGGACUGCCCAGAUCCCGCGACUCCAUCAGCGUUCCUCGCCGCCCAUGGCCCCCACCUCUCGUUUCCAGAUGGUACAGUCCUUUUCUCCUAUCGCGAGACUGGAAGCGUCGUGCUUCUGGUUGCCAGGGUAACACCGUUCCUGGAGGCAGGAGGGCUUUGGACCGGCUGGAAGGAACUUCCAGCUCCAGAGAAGCUGUGGUGGCAGAAAAGGAGCCUCCCCUUUGGGGGACAGUGGGUGACGCUGAGGGUGUCAGCGGUGCGCUUCUGCGCCCAUCAAUGCUCUGACGACUCGCGACUAGUUCCCAGAGUUUCUGCCGGCCAGGAUAUCAAUGGAUAUUAUUAAGGGAAACUUAGACGGAAUUUCAAAACCAGCCUCAAAUUCAAGAACGCGUCCUGGGAGCAGAGAUUCAAAUUCUUCUUUGGAGGUACUCUCACCAGAACCAGCGUUUUUCAAGGUUGAUACUGCAAUCAAAUUGAACUCUGGUAAAGAGGGCCACUCAGAAAGCAGUAAUACAGAGGAAAGUAGAAACAGUGAUGAUGAUAAAGGGGAAAAGCAUUCUGAGAACAUAGAACUGGCUCGAGAGCGGCCAGAUGAAGAUCUGCCGGUUCAGCGUCCGAUGCUCUCUGGACGUUCAGAUGAAGGCGAAUUGAAAGAAUUAGAUUCUCAACUUCAAGACGCUAUUCGGAAGAUGAGGAGGCUUGAUAAGAUAUUAGCGAAGAGACAAUAUAGAGAAAGAGAAAUUAAGAAGCGAGGCCUAGAAAUGAGAAUAAAGCUGUGGGAAGAACUUAAGUUUGCAAAAAACAGUGAAGAUUUGCAAAUUAAUGAGGAGACGGAAAAUACAAAAAAGUUUCUAGCUUUGACUGCUGGAUCCAAAAAAACUGUUGAUCCUUCUUGCUAUGAGCAUGAAGACUCAGUGUUUUACACUCAAGUCCCUCCAGAAGAAUAUGAAAACUGUAUACAGAUUAUCAAUCAAGAUUUUACCUAUGAUCUGGAAAGAAAUGAGUCCUUGAUCAAGGCAGAAAAGAAACCUUUCUCAAAAACAGAAAAGAUUGAGCUCAGGGGUAAACACAGCCAGGAUUUUAUUAAGCGAAACAUUGAGUUGGCCAAGAAUCCAGGAAAACCAGGGGUUAUGAUUGACAGAGAGAAGAAAAGGCUGAUGGAACUUCUGAAGGACUUGGAUGAUAGAGAUUCGGGGCUGUCCAGUUCUGAGGGCGAUCAGUCUGGCUGGCUGGUCCCAGGAGAAGGAUACACACUUGCGGUCACCCAGCAUCAGCAGCUUGCUGAAAUCGAUACAAAACUCCAAGAACUCUCUGCAGGCUCCCCAACAAUUUUCAGCUUUUCUCCAAGAAUUGGAAAUCAGAGUGAUCAGGAAGCUGACCUUAAUGGUGAUGACAGAAACGUGGAAAUAACUCCAGGAGAAAAGGCACUUCGGUACACCAAAGAGAAUCGGGAUCAGAAAAAUCGGCUGAGAGAGAUAGAUGAAAAACUGAGAAAGAUGAAGGAAAAUGUAUUAGAUUCAACAUCACUUCUCUCUGAGGAACAGUUAAGGUGUCUUCUGGAUGAAUGUGCAUUCAAACAAAAAUCCAUGACUAGACUUUCUUCAGAAAAAGAAAAGAAAGACAUUGAGGAUAUAACACCUGAGUUGCCCCAGCUUUCCAGAUCUGUCCUUUCUGAGUUACUAAAUGGGUUAGAAGCAAAGGUCAAGAGCACUGACGUGGAAGAUGCAAGUAUGCCGGAGAAUGGAGAAGGUGAAACAUCUAGAGGCUACUAUCUCACCCAAGCCUUGACUGGGCAUUGCAUGUCACAAGCUCUUGUCACUGAAGCAGAGAAUAUGAAAUGCCUCCAAUUUUCCAAGGACAAGGUUAUUAGUGACACCAAAGACUAUUUUAUGUUGAAGACUCUUGGCAUUGGGGGACUGAAAAGGCCCUCUUUCCUGGAUGAUCCAUUGUAUGGUAGCAAUGUGAGCCUUUCAUCUGAAGACCAAAAUAUGAAAUCCAGCCCUCCAGAGAAACCAAAAACAGAUGAACAGGAGACUGAAGAUGUGACAGAAGAAUGUAAAGAAUCUUAAGCAAAGACUAACUGGGGUGCGCUUUUAAGAAAGCUGGUAAAUUAAGAAAGUCGGUAAAAAACUACAUUUUUCCCAAAUUCUUUGAAUUCAUUGAAUGCAUUAUAGAGACUAUUCCUCAAAUAAUGAUUUUAAUAUUUGUAUUCUCUCUUUCUGGAUUACAUAUCCUUGAUAUUUUUGAGACUUGUGGUAUAAUGAUUUAAUGGUUUUUCUUCAUUGAAAUUCCUGGGGAAAUUGUUUCUUAUGACUAAUCUUGCAACAUCAGGAAUACAUUAUGGAAACCAACAUUUUAUGUAUGUGUGUUAGGUUAAAACUAGUUGAAGUGCUACGAUUGUUUUGUAUUUGACUUUCUGUUACAACUCUAUUGUGAUUCAGACAGAUUUAAUCACCAUGAAUUUUUGUUUUGGCCCUGAUUUUCCUUCUUUCCUCCCCUCUAAUGCCUAUUAAGUAAGUACAACUGCCAUAGAAAGAAAUGAGUUUUCUCAAAAAAGCAAUUUAGGAUAGCCUUUACUAUCUUAUUAGCAAAGAUACUUUUCCUAAGCAGGACUUUGACUGAAUUAUUUGAUAUAUUACUUUCAGUUUGUUAUCUUCUUUCGGUGUUUGCCUUUUAGAAUGCAGCAAAUAAAGAUCAGCUACUUAAAAAAGUCUGUGGUACU